AGUGCUCAGUAGAACUUCACACCAUACAGGGCCGUCUGUGGAGAUAUUAUGCAGGGGACGUGUUUGUGUGGAGGAUGCAGGGAUAAACGGACGUCUGACUAAAAUGAGCCUUCAAAACCUGAAACAGGCUUUGCAUUACACUGUAAUAAAGAUGUUUCUGAGAAGGAUGAGUUCAGAAGUCUCUGUUCUACUGCCACCUCAUUCAUCUUCCUCUUUUCUCUGAACUACAUGCUCUUAUCAGCCUAUCUAAGAUGAAGCAGUGAAAUUUUUGAAAAUUAACACGGACUCAAAGUUUAUUUACUUGCUUGAGAUCAUUGCUAUGAUUGAGAGAAAGCGGUCUCUUCUCGAUCUUGUUCUGUGCUUGUUUAUCAGUGAGUCAUUAUUAAAUGUGUAUUUAUUACUUCUGUCUUUAGGGAUAUUGACAAACAUGCGGUCACUAUCACACUGUUAAGUGUACUUCCCAUAUCAUGUGUACUUUUUAAG